CUGUGUACACACUGCCAUAUUAUUAUUAUUAUAAGUUGCUUACACUGGAAAUGUGUUUCUAGCAUAGCUCGCAAAUACCUCUCGACUGUCAUUCGUAAAAGACGAUGCGCGUGUGCUCUGGCUCUGAACAUAACUCUUCGUUUCUCUUUGUUUUGGUUUUUGUUUAACUGUUCUCAGUUGCAUGGUUAUUAUUAUGCUCACUCAACAACAACUCAGAGAGAGCGAUUCAAUUGAACGCUCGCUCAAUGAGGGUCAGCAGAAGAGCGAAAAAUCGAAACAAUCUUUUGUCUUCAGUGCCUUUUAAACAAAACUUAGCAUAAAUUUUAACAUAUUUAUUAUAUGUAAGCAUAAGAUUUAUUACUUAUUCAGUAUAAAGCUUUACAACUAGUAGCAAAUUAACAUUUUCUGUACUUAAGGAGCUCUUUGUCACAUAUGGGAUAUGGGAUUCAUCGAAGGCGCGUUAAAAAUUGAGUUUAAUAUCUGUCAAAAACAUUCGCUAUCCAGAAAUAAAAAAGGCGGUGGUCACAAUCUUUACAUAUAUAAUAAUAUUGCAUAAUGGUAUAAUAAGCAUGCUCCGGUAAUCGUAACCAUUUUUCGAUUUCGAUAUGGGCCAAAUCGUACGAUUUCGUUUUUAGCUGCUCUGGUUUUCGCAAAAUUUUUGCUUGAGUAAAAUCUUGAGUUGCCACCUUUUUCCGAUGUUCGCAAUUACUUUUUACCGUACUUUGACCAUUUAAGUAAUUAAAUUAUAUAGCAUUAUUUACAAAGAACACGUGUGGCCCUCCUUUUAAUUAAUUAAUGAAUUAUUUUAUAUUUUAUAAGUACUUUUAUCUGCCUGUCCACGAACAGUAUGGCUACCUUCGGGAUAGCUUUUGCGACGUACUUCGACCCCUUACCAAAUCGUAAAUUAUUGUUGCCGACGGCAACAUUUUGUUUGUCAAAUCUGAGGUGGGGUCAGAAAUAUAUUUUUUAUAAAAUAACUAAGUGAAUGUGGAAUUAACAUCAAUAGACCACUGAGUUAAAUACUUUUUUCCCUUAGUAAAUAAGAUCUGAUUUGAUAUAAAAAAAGGCAUUUGCUUUUCAUUUCGGCCAGACAAAUGUGCCCGUUUUACAAAUCGAAAAAUCUUACGAAUUCGAUUACCGGAGCAUGCCUGAAUAUUUUGUUGUAAUUUGUCGUCAAUCUGGAACUCAUUAAAUACUUCCGAAUAUUUUGCAAUUAAAUGCAGAUUUAAAUUUGAUGCGUGAGAGCCUGCUAACAAAGGCUUAUUGUCUUCUGAAUUAAAUUAUAAAAAAAAAAAACACUUUUUUGUUGUGAUCGCGACCCCAUAAAAAGUUAAAACACUCGAAACGCUCCGAAUCCAGAAAAACAAGCGUGAUUACAAGUAGACUGAUCAUUCGCAUAUACACUCAUACAAAUGCUAUAGAUUUUUAUUUUCUUCGCUCGCUGCAAAACGGUCAGCAAAUAAGCAGAUCAAAAGGGAAACACGAAAUUGGUUUUUGGUUGAGCACAGACCGUUCGUUUAAGGAACUAGUUACUCUCAACACAAACUCAAAUCGAGUAAAAAAUAUAAAUGGUUUUUCUACAUUCAAUCUUGCAUUUGUGGCGUACAUUCAUGCAACAGAAAUCAGAACCGAUUACCCGACAGCAAAUUUAAUUUAUAUUUCAUCAUUAAAUCCAUCAAAUGCGUAAUUAAAUUCCAACCCAAAUGUUUCAGUAUAUACAAAUAUUUCUUCUUUCGGAUAUUUAUUCUUGGCCUUUUAUGUCAAGGAUCGUUGAUGUAGCUGCCGCUGGAGAUUUUUUAACGAUGUUUCGCAUUAUCACCUUUAUUUCCUCGUGUAAGGCUGAUUUCACCGCAAUGACGUUUUGGGAAAAACAUCAUUCCGAGAUAAUCGCGAGACUUGAAGCGCCAAGCCUUUCUAACGGAGCAAGAUGAAAAAGCUAUAACUUUGUUUCUACUACUUCAAUCUUUAUGAAAAUUUGAUCACAUUUUUAGAGACAUAUACAAGAAUACAAAAAUUUUCGACUUUUUGACCGACCGCAACAUAUGUAACCCCUUAAGUUGAGCUACUCUCAUUAUGAAUGCUCCCAUUCAUGGAAUAUAAUUACUAAAUCGUUGGAGUCUAAAAUCACCAAUCCAAUUUUUGUUAGUGUGACUAAUAACUUUAAGUACUGGAGUUCAGAAAUAAAUAUCUUAAUUCUUGAA